CAUGCAAGUCGAACGGUGAACACGGAGCUUGCUCUGUGGGAUCAGUGGCGAACGGGUGAGUAACACGUGAGCAACCUGCCCCUGACUCUGGGAUAAGCGCUGGAAACGGCGUCUAAUACUGGAUAUGUGACGUGACCGCAUGGWCUGCGUCUGGAAAGAAUUUAGGUUGGGGAUGGGCUCGCGGCUCCUCAGCUUGAUGGUGAGGCAAUGGCUCACCAAGGCCUCUACGGGGCCUCGGCCUGAGACGCCCCACCGGCCAUCUG
rnacentral:rRNA from 1 species